rnacentral:rRNA from 1 species
UGACGCUCAGGUGCGGAAGCGUGGGGAGCAAACAGGAUUAGAUUCCCUGGUAGUGCACGCCGUAAACGAUGUCGAUUUAGAGGUUGUGAUCUUGAGCCGUGGCUUCUGUAGCUAACGCGUUAAAUUGACCGCCUGGGGAGUACGGUCGCAAGGCUAAAACUCAAAUGAAUUGACGGGGGGCCGCACAAGCGGUGGAGCAUGUGGUUUAAUUUGAUGCAACGCGAAGAACCUUACCUACUCUUGUCAUCCAGUGAAUCCUUUAGAGAUAGAGGAGUGCCUUCGGGAACGGUGAGACAGGUCAUGCAUGGCAGUCGUCAGCUCGUGUUGUGAAAUGUUGGGUUAAGUUCCGCAACGAGCGCAACCCUUAUCCUUUGUUUCCAGCACGUAAUGGUGGGAACUCAAAGGAGACUACCGGUGAUAAACCGGAGGAAGGUGGGGAUGACGUCAAGUCAUCAUGUCCCUUACGAGUAGGGCUACACACGUGCUACAAUGGCAGAUACAAAGAGAAGCGACCUCGCGAGAGCAAGCGGAACUCAUAAAGUCUGUCGUAGUCCGGAUUGGAGUCUGCAACUCGACUCCAUGAAGUCGGAAUCGCUAGUAAUCGUAGAUCAGAAUGCUACGGUGAAUACGUUCCCGGGCCUGUACACACCGCCCGUCACACCAUGGGAGUGGGUUGCAAAAGAAGUAGGUAGCGUAACCUUCAGGGAGGGCGCUACCACU